GGUUCGAUGCCACGUCGCUGGUAGCUAAAGUUGCAAUGACCGACGAUGCUAUGAUUGAACCGAUAUUAAGUUUUUUCGUUUCGCAAUUUAUAGGAACCUGUGAACUGUUAAAUUCCCGUUCAUUCACAGAGCCGGUUUUUGCGACUACAUUU
rfam:Helianthus annuus linkage group 8, whole genome shotgun sequence.